GAUGAACGCUAGCGGCAGGCCUAACACAUGCAAGUCGAGGGGUAUUAGGAGCUUGCUCCUAAGAGACCGGCGCACGGGUGCGUAACGCGUAUGCAAUCUACCUUGUACAGGGGAAUAGCCCAGAGAAAUUUGGAUUAAUGCCCCAUAGUAUAAUUGAAUCGCAUGGUUUAAUUAUUAAAGUUCCAACGGUACAAGAUGAGCAUGCGUCCCAUUAGUUAGUUGGUAAGGUAACGGCUUACCAAGACAAUGAUGGGUAGGGGUCCUGAGAGGGAGAUCCCCCACACUGGUACUGAGACACGGACCAGACUCCUACGGGAGGCAGCAGUGAGGAAUAUUGGUCAAUGGGCGCAAGCCUGAACCAGCCAUGCCGCGUGCAGGAAGACGGUCCUAUGGAUUGUAAACUGCUUUUAUACAGGAAGAAACAACUCUACGUGUAGAGUCUUGACGGUACUGUAGGAAUAAGGAUCGGCUAACUCCGUGCCAGCAGCCG
rnacentral:rRNA from 1 species